rnacentral:rRNA from 1 species
GAUGAACGCUGGCGGCGUGCCUAAUACAUGCAAGUCGAGCGAACAGACGAGGAGCUUGCUCCUCUGACGUUAGCGGCGGACGGGUGAGUAACACGUGGAUAACCUACCUAUAAGACUGGGAUAACUUCGGGAAACCGGAGCUAAUACCGGAUAAUAUAUUGAACCGCAUGGUUCAAUAGUGAAAGACGGUUUUGCUGUCACUUAUAGAUGGAUCCGCGCCGCAUUAGCUAGUUGGUAAGGUAACGGCUUACCAAGGCAACGAUGCGUAGUCGACCUGAGAGGGUGAUAGGCCACACUGGAACUGAGACACGGUCCAGACUCCUACGGGAGGCAGCAGUAGGGAAUCUUCCGCAAUGGGCGAAAGCUUGACGGAGCAACGCCGCGUGAGUGAUGAAGGUCUUCGGAUCGUAAAACUCUGUUAUUAGGGAAGAACAAAUGUGUAAGUAACUAUGCACGUCUUGACGGUACCUAAUCAGAAAGCCACGGCUAACUACGUG